rnacentral:lncRNA from 1 species
AGAACGCGGCGGUCAGCUGCGCCCGGCCUGAAGUUGUCCCAACCGCGGCCGCGUCGGUCGCCCUUUUGACUUGCAGCAGGGCGGGCAGAGCGACUUAGAGGAAAAGUGACUUUUUGUACCCUCCUGCAGGGAGCAGGUUCUCUGUCCUUGUUUAAUUAGACAUUUCUCAGGUGGGCACUUUGAAUUCCUUCCAGUCAAGACUCAGGUGUUCAACUUGUUUUGUCGGCCGUCUUCCUCCACCCUUCUUCUCCCAUUCAAAACAAAAGUACGUUUUGUGCUUAACUUUAAAACUCCCCCCACUCUUUUCUGUCUUCAACUGAUUGUCACUUUCAGCAAACCAAAUAAAUUACUCAAAACAUCAGCUAUUAUACAGUCCCCGACACAUGGCAGGUGCUCAGUAGAUGCUAGUUGAUCGCAUGUCCCCUAACCACGCUACCUGCUUCUUACCAUUAAGUGCUCCUUCAGUCAUGGGAC